UAGUCCACACCGUAAACGAUGAAUGCCAGUCGUCGGGUAGCAUGCUAUUCGGUGACACACCUAACAGAUUAAGCAUUCCGCCUGGGGAGUACGGUCGCAAGAUUAAAACUCAAAGGAAUUGACGGGAACCCGCACAAGCGGUGGAGCAUGUGGUUUAAUUCGAUGCAACGCGAAGAACCUUACCAGGUCUUGACAUACCUAUUGUACGACGUAGAGAUACGUUGGUCAGUUCGGCUGGAUAGGAUACAGGUGCUGCAUGGCUGUCGUCAGCUCGUGUCGUGAGAUGUUGGGUUAAGUCCCGCAACGAGCGCAACCCUCGCCGUUAGUUGCCAGCACUUCGGGUGGGAACUCUAACGGGACUGCCUGUGAAAGCAGGAGGAAGGCGAGGAUGACGUCUAGUCAGCAUGGUCCUUACGAUCUGGGCUACACACGUGCUACAAUGGCAGGUACAGAGCGCAGCCACUUCGCGAGAAGGCGCUAAUCGCUUAAAGCC
rnacentral:rRNA from 1 species